GGAAGUAUGGGUGAGCGGUCGAAACCAGCACACUGCUAACGUGCCGAGCUGCAAGGCUCCGAAGGUUCGAAUCCUUCUGCUUCCGCAA
rnacentral:tRNA from 3 species